GACGAACGCUGGCGGCGUGCUUAACACAUGCAAGUCGAACGGAAAGGCCCUGCUUUUGUGGGGUGCUCGAGUGGCGAACGGGUGAGUAACACGUGAGUAACCUGCCCUUGACUUUGGGAUAACUUCAGGAAACUGGGGCUAAUACCGGAUAGGAGCCCCUGCUGCAUGGUGGGGGUUGGAAAGUUUCGGCGGUUGGGGAUGGACUCGCGGCUUAUCAGCUUGUUGGUUGGGUAGUGGCUUACCAAGGCUUUGACGGGUAGCCGGCCUGAGAGGGUGACCGGCCACAAUGGGACUGAGAGACGGCCCAGACUCCUACGGGAGGCAGCAGUGGGGAAUAUUGCACAAUGGGCGGAAGCCUGAUGCAGCAACGCCGCGUGCGGGAUGACGGCCUUCGGGUUGUAAACCGCUUUCGCCUGUGACGAAGCGUGUGUGACGGUAAUGGGUAAAGAAGCACCGGCUAACUACGUG
rnacentral:rRNA from 1 species